GAUAACGCUCGUAUACAAUAUUAAAGUGUUUCAACAUAUAUAAUGACAUAUAUAUAUAUGUGAUAUCGUGCCAUGCAUAUAUAUAUAUAUGUUUUUAUACCCCUGUCAGUUCUAAACCUAAUAAUGACAUAAUAAGAAGUAAAAAACAUAAGUACCUUAAUUUUUUUGACUUUUGAAUCAACAUAGUAAUUAAACACUGAAACCCUAAACUUUAAACUCUAAACCCUAAACGCUAUAAACCCUAAAUCCAAAACACAAAAAAACCAUACAUCGUAA
rnacentral:lncRNA from 1 species